AAUGGGAUACGGACACCAGGUUGGAGGGGACUGUCUAUCACCUACAAGCAACCUACCAGAAGCCAGGACUACAAGAAUCUACAUACGUCAUUUCAAUGUAUAAAAUGGACUGCCCAUCAUGUUUCAGGCCUCUCUUUUUUCCGACGGUUCCAUAAGAACUAGACGAAAAGGGGCCGUGCAGCACGAUUUACCAUAUAUUAUUACGCUAUAAUAAACGGCCUUGUAUUAUACCUUAUCCGCCUUGUCCAGAGUCUCAACUUGGUCUCGUUUCUCAUAUUGUUAUUCAUCAACAAAGUGGUAGCAGAGGAUGGUUGAAACCCAUGAAUUCGGUCCAUAGAGAGUUGAUGAGAGAAAAGACAAGUUGACGACAAGAUUCCAGAACGACGGGCGACUUGUCUACAGGAGCCAUCAGGGAUUCAACUCCCCUCAGGAAAUUGAUCAAGAGCUCGACACUAUAAAGCUCUCUCUGUUCAGGAUCGUAAGGUCCAGGAGAGAGAACUGCCGGAAGAUCCAGCACCACUGAAGGUAAAAGUUGGAGACUGGGUAAGGGUAAAAGUCCACAAGAGAAAGUGGCUGGAACCCAGGUGGACUGGACCGUACGAAGUGAAGGAGGUUACUUCACACUCAGUCCAGGUCAAAGGUGUGGGUGAUUUGGUGACCCGGAUACAGGCUGUGGACCCACAGUUUCUGCCUACCAGAACCAAGCGGGCAGCAGCCCUGACUGUCGGAGAUCCCACGUAUAUUGAUGCCAUAGGUGUUCCUAGGGGGGUCCCUGAUGAGUACAAGCUGGUGGAUCAGGUCGCCGCAGGUUUUGAAUCAUCUCUCUGCUGGUGGUGCACUGUGAAUAAAAAUGUUGACUGCAUUAACUAUAUACAUUUCAAUGUCCAAAAAUGAGGUAACUGGAGUCAACAAGGCUUUGAGGCCGUGCAUGGUCAACUGGGCUGCCACCUCCCUUAUGGCUUUUCAAAAUCGCAUUGCCGUUGACAUGUUGCUGGCUGAGAAGGGUUUAACCCUCUGUGGCUGUUGUUGCAUCCCAUGUGCCCGCUCUCUGCUUUCUCGAGUUAUUACCUCCGCUAUUGCACCAACUAAUGACCCUGCACUGAUGUUUCCCCUCCUACCACAGGAGGAUCCUUCGGUGGAAUUGGACACAUGCACAUAUGAGUAGUUUUCACGUUUCAGUAGUUUUCACGUCUCUUUUGAGACGUGAAGAGGGGGACAAAAAAUGUCCUGUUCUAUUUUUCUUACUUUUAGUUUUGUCACGUCUAUUCAGACGAGAAGAGGGGGAUUUGUAAUAAACAUAUUAAACACAUGUAAUAACGCAUUCACUGACUGUUGUCUGCAUGCGGCCUAACCAUGAUAUUAUAGCUUGCACACUAUGUUAUAACCUUCCCCUCCCCCUGUCCUUCUGUAGAUACUAAUCGCACUGGUACAACCCGUACGGGGGGCUGACUGAGAUAACAUAUACACUGAACAUAUACACUGAAAUUCCUAAAGCACAUUCCUAAAACACACACCCGACCCCCUUCGGGAUGGACUCCAAAGACAAAGAACUCUGUCAAGAGCCAAUGGGAUACGGACACCAGGUUGGAGGGGACUGUCUAUCACCUACAAGCAACCUACCAGAAGCCAGGACUACAAGAAUCUACAUACGUCAUUUCAAUGUAUAAAAUGGACUGCCCAUCAUGUUUCAGGCCUCUCUUUUUUCCGACGGUUCCAUAAGAACUAGACGACAAGGGGCCGUGCAGCACGAUUUACCAUAUAUUAUUAUGCUAUAAUAAACGGCCUUGUCCCUUAUCCGCCUUG